rnacentral:rRNA from 1 species
CCUACGGGUGGCAGCAGUGGGGAAUAUUGGGCAAUGGGCGCAAGCCUGACCCAGCAACGCCGCGUGAAGGAAGAAGGCUUUCGGGUUGUAAACUUCUUUUCUGAGGGACGAAGAAAGUGACGGUACCUCAGGAAUAAGCCACGGCUAACUACGUGCCAGCAGCCGCGGUAAUACGUAGGUGGCAAGCGUUAUCCGUAUUGAUUGGGUGUAAGGGGCGUGUAGGCGGGAAAGCAAGUCAGAUGUGAAAACUCAGGGCUCAACCCUGGGCCUGCAUUUGAAACUGGUUUGCUUGAGGGCUGGAGAGGAAAUGGGAAUUCCGGGGGUAGCGGUGAAAGGCGUAGAUAUACGGAGGAACACCAGUGGCGAAGGCGGAUGGCUGGACAGUAACUGACGCUGAGGCGCGAAAGCGUGGGGAGCAAACAGGAUUAGAUACCCUUGUAGUC